rnacentral:rRNA from 1 species
GACGAACGCUGGCGGCGUGCUUAACACAUGCAAGUCGAACGGAAAGGCCUCUUUCGGGGGGUACUCGAGUGGCGAACGGGUGAGUAACACGUGAGUAACAUGCCCUUGACUUUGGGAUAACUUCAGGAAACUGGGGCUAAUACCGGAUAGGAGCUCCUGCUGCAUGGUGGGGGUUGGAAAGUUUCGGCGGUUGGGGAUGGACUCGCGGCUUAUCAGCUUGUUGGUGGGGUAGUGGCUUACCAAGGCUUUGACGGGUAGCCGGCCUGAGAGGGUGACCGGCCACAUUGGGACUGAGAUACGGCCCAGACUCCUACGGGAGGCAGCAGUGGGGAAUAUUGCACAAUGGGUGGAAGCCUGAUGCAGCAACGCCGUGUGCGGGAUGACGGCCUUCGGGUUGUAAACCGCUUUCGCUCAUGACGAAGCUUUGUGUGACGGUAGUGGGUAAAGAAGCACCGGCUAACUACGUG